GAUGAAGAACGUAGCGAAAUGCGAUACUUGGUGUGAAUUGCAGAAUCCCGUGAACCAUCGAGUCUUUGAACGCAAGUUGCGCCCGAAGCCAUUAGGUCGAGGGCACGCCUGCCUGGGCGUCACACGUCGUUGCCCCCCCAUCUACUCCUUCGGGAUUGCGGGGGGCGGAUGAUGGCCUCCCGUGCGCCUCGUCGCGCGGUUGGCAUAAAUGCCAAGUCCUCGGCGACGCACGCCACGACAAUCGGUGGUUGCGAAACCUCGGUUGCCCGUCGUGUGCGGUCGUCGCGCAUCGAGGGCUCGAAAAAAUUGUCGGGCUCCGGCUCGGCUUUCAACGCGACCCCAGGUCAGGCGGGGUUACCCGCUGAAUUUAAGCAUAUCAAUAAGCGGAGGA
rnacentral:misc_RNA from 1 species